GUCAGAAUUGUGUUGCUGUUAAUAGUUUUUACAAUACAAGGAAAUUAGAAUACCUAGAAAGUUGAAGUUAGUGGCUUAAUGUUUUGUACCACUAUGUUCAACUCCCUAUUUCAGAAACUGGUAGAUUCAACACUGCUGUGCUUUUACUCUGGGGUGAUCCAAGAUUUGUGCAUGACAGCAACUGUGAAGAAGUGAGAGAAGAUAGAAGUUAAGCCCUAAAAGAACACUGUCAAGACUUUCUCUUCUUUUAUACAUCAGAAUGAAGGUU